rnacentral:rRNA from 1 species
UACGUAGGUGGCAAGCGUUGUCCGGAAUCAUUGGGCGUAAAGCGCGCGUAGGCGGCCCGGUAAGUCCGCUGUGAAAGUCAAAGGCUCAACCUUUGAAUGUCAGCGGAUACUGCCGGGCUAGAGUCCGGAAGAGGCGAGUGGAACUCCUGGUGUAGCGGUGGAAUGCGCAGAUAUCAGGAAGAACACCAACGGCGAAGGCAGCUCGCUGGGACGGAACUGACGCUAAGGCGCGAAAGCGUGGGGAGCGAACAGG